CACGUAGGGGGCAAGCGUUGUCCGGAAUUAUUGGGCGUAAAGAGCUCGUAGGCGGCUCGGUAAGUCAGGUGUCAAAUCCUCAGGCUCAACCUGGGGCUCCACCUGAUACUGCUGUGGCUAGAGUCCGGUAGGGGAGCGUGGAAUUCCUGGUGUAGCGGUGAAAUGCGCAGAUAUCAGGAGGAACACCCGUAGCGAAGGCGGCACUCUGGGCCGAUACUGACACUGAGGAGCGAAAGCGUGGGGAGCGAACAGG
rnacentral:rRNA from 1 species